UGGUCAUUACCAAAGCUUUUAGAGUGCAGUUGCUCAUUUGCCGUGGAUAUGACCACAAAACAUUUUCCCACUAGGUUUUUUCCCUGCUAUAUUGCUAGCAUUUGGCCUAUUGGGAACAUUU